ACGCUGGCAUAUGAAAAUAUUACGUUGUUACCUUUGUUAAACAGUUGGGUCGAGGUGCCGUAGAAGCCACGUGGGAGGGACGGUAUCUAACAAAAGCCAGCCCCGGAUCUUAAAUUAGAAUUAAAUUCCAUUUAAUGAUGAGCCGUGGAAAGGUACUCCUGGUAUAAAUACAGUUACAGGGUUUUACAGUGAACGCUGCGAUGCGAUAAACGAAGAGGAAGAAGGAACAGUUGCAGCGGUGGUCGGGAUCCGGCGUCGUUCGUCGGAUUUCGUCCAUUUUCAACCGGAGAUCUUUCCUCGCUAGCUGAAAUCUUUGGAUUGAGAGAUGAAGGGGUCUUGCAGUCUCGUGGCCUCGGUUUUCGCUGCUUCAACCGUGGCUCUUACUUCCUCGUCCUCUUCGGGAGGCCGCGACGGUGCUUUCAAUCCUUGCUGCAAAGAGGGCUUGCCACUGUCUUUGGGGAAAAAUAACACUGAGAUUUCCCAUACAUCCUCAUCAGCUGAUAAGGAAAAAUUCGCGCCCCGAUUCGACGGCUUAAGGUUUAUAGAAACCCUGGUGACAGCACACAGAUGAAAGUUCCCUUGGGUUACGGAGCAUCUUCUAAUUAACGUGCCAGAUUGGUUGUGAGACGUGAAUGACACCUCUUUUAAUAUCCAAUUAGGCGAGCAAUGCUUCGCGUGAUUGGGACAAGAUUUUAUUGUUUCGUUUUAUAUCUUUCGUAUCUCAAACUUUACGGUCACGAUUUAGUCCAAUUGUAGAAAUUCUUGGCGUGUUAUUGUUUAUUACCUACUUGUAUGUAAAGAAUUUGCAUAUGGUAGUGAGUCCAUGGAUGUAUCCCGUGAUUCAGUAAAAUGCAUUGAUCUGACUUUAGAUUAUCUAA